rnacentral:lncRNA from 1 species
CCAAACAGAUUAGAGGGUCACGUGGUGAUUUUGUGAUGAUUAAAUUCGAAAUUCAACCUUAAUUAGAAGUGAGAUAAAGAUAAGGAUGACAUAUGUCAUGAAGAGAGAGAAUUUGAUCUUAUCCAAUUCUUUUCAUGAAUUUAUCUCUUCAUUUCGACCCAUCUAAUGAUGAAAGAGGUCCCUGAUGUUGCCAAGUGUCCCAUGGCAUCAUUAAAUAAAUUAAAUUAAUUUUUAAUCAUAUUAAAAAU